rnacentral:rRNA from 1 species
GUACACGCUGUGACUAGCAUAUCAAUAAGCGGAGGAAAGAAACUAACAAGGAUUCCCUCAGUAACGGCGAGUGAAGCGGGAAGAGCUCAAAUUUGAAAUCUUGAGAGGUCACCUUUCACGAAUUGUAGUUUAAAGAAGUGUUUUCUGUUACGAUCGUAAUAUAAGUUCUUUGGAAUAGGACAUCACAGAGGGUGAGAAUCCCGUCUAUGAUUGCGAUUUGUAGCUUUGUGAUACACUUUCAAAGAGUCGGGUUGUUUGGGAAUGCAGCCCAAAACGGGAGGUAAAUUUCUUCUAAGGCUAAAUAUUGGCGAGAGACCGAUAGCGAACAAGUACCGUGAGGGAAAGAUGAAAAGAACUUUGAAAAGAGAGUUAAAUAGUACGUGAAAUUGUCAAAAGGGAAGCGUUUAACACCAGUGUUGUUUUCUGAAAAUCAACCUCUGUUAGCUUUAUGCAUGUUUGCUUAGACCUAAUCAGCUAUCUUGCAUGUUCUAUUGUUUGCAGUGGUGCACUUUUCAGUUUACAGGUCAACAUCAGUUUUUUUACCGUAAAAAAGUUAAAGAAAGGUAGCUCAUGGCUCCGGUCGUGAGUGUUAUAGUCUUUUUCCUAUGCGGUAGGAGAGACUGAGGUCUGCAGUGUAGGCUAUUUGGCUAGAUACUCAGGUGCUAUGUGAUACCAUUUCAUAAACAACUUGUUGAUUAUGUUUUGUCUAUUGCAUACUCGCUUGUACUAUCAUACCUACGCUUAGGAUGUUGACGCAUGAGAUAUACGC